GAGGGUAUGACUCAGUGGUAGAGCGUGUGCUCAGCAAGCACGAGGUCCUGGGUUCAGUCCCCCAGUACUUCCA
rnacentral:tRNA from 1 species